GUGAGUUUAGGUUAAAAAAACUUAAAACCUUCAAAGUUUUAGAUGAUUCAUUCAAUUCAUA
rnacentral:tRNA from 2 species